rnacentral:rRNA from 1 species
CGAACGAUGAUGCCCAGCUUGCUGGGUGGAUUAGUGGCGAACGGGUGAGUAACACGUGAGUAACCUGCCCUUGACUUCGGGAUAACUCCGGGAAACCGGGGCUAAUACCGGAUAUGAGCCGCCUUCGCAUGGGGGUGGUUGGAAAGUUUUUCGGUCAGGGAUGGGCUCGCGGCCUAUCAGCUUGUUGGUGGGGUGAUGGCCUACCAAGGCGACGACGGGUAGCCGGCCUGAGAGGGCGACCGGCCACACUGGGACUGAGACACGGCCCAGACUCCUACGGGAGGCAGCAGUGGGGAAUAUUGCACAAUGGGCGAAAGCCUGAUGCAGCGACGCCGCGUGAGGGAUGAAGGCCUUCGGGUUGUAAACCUCUUUC